rnacentral:rRNA from 1 species
CACACGACUCUCGGCAACGGAUAUCUCGGCUCUCGCAUCGAUGAAGAACGUAGCGAAAUGCGAUACCUGGUGUGAAUUGCAGAAUCCCGCGAACCAUCGAGUCUUUGAACGCAAGUUGCGCCCGAGGCCAUUUGGCCGAGGGCACGCCUGCCUGGGAGUCACGC